CGUAUCUGGUGGAAGGACCCCACGGGACCAUCAGACGGAACCGUCGUCAUCUCGUCCCUAUGAGAUCCUCGCCGGAGCAGAGUGGUUGUGGUGCAGCAGAGCCGUUCCUGGGAGGCGUCCCAGAACCACCUUCAGCAGAACCACCGCAGCAGAGUCUUCCAGAAACGCCAUCUACACCUACUCCUAGAACCAGGUCUGGGAGGGCUGUGGUGAGACCAACUUGGAUUGCAAGUAUCCAGGGUCAGGAGAGGGGGUAGGUGGGAAACCCACUGCUGCC
ensembl:lncRNA